GAUGAACGCUGGCGGCGUGCCUAAUACAUGCAAGUCGAGCGAACAGAUGAGGAGCUUGCUCCUCUGACGUUAGCGGCGGGCGGGUGAGUAACACGUGGAUAACCUACCUAUAAGACUGGGAUAACUUCGGGAAACCGGAGCUAAUACCGGAUAAUAUAUUGAACCGCAUGGUUCAAUAGUGAAAGACGGUUUUGCUGUCACUUAUAGAUGGAUCCGCGCCGCGUUAGCUAGUUGGUAAGGUAAUGGCUUACCAAGGCAACGAUGCGUAGCCGACCUGAGAGGGUGAUCGGCCACACUGGAACUGAGACACGGUCCAGACUCCUACGGGAGGCAGCAGUAGGGAAUCUUCCGCAAAGGGCGAAAGCCUGACGGAGCAACGCCGCGUGAGUGAUGAAGGUCUUCGGAUCGUAAAACUCUGUUAUUAGGGAAGAACAAAUGUGUAAGUAACUAUGCACGUCUUGACGGUACCUAAUCAGAAAGCCACGGCUAACUACGUG
rnacentral:rRNA from 1 species